AUACCAUAUUUACCAAUUGAAAUUCCAUUGAAGAAGUUAAAAUUAUUUUUCCUCUGACCUAUUCCACGUAGUUUUCCAAAACAAAUCGAGGGAUUAUUAUUGCGAGUAAGUUUCCUCUUGAAUGAAGAUAGCCGAAGUCAUCAAACAAAGAAAUACUGAAAUAUUUGUAGUUAUUUUAAUGAUUAAUUGUUUACCUUUUCAGUUAUAUAUAGAAAAAACCGGAAACUACAUUCUUGAUUCUUAUUUUUGUAAAUCUAAUUUCUGGAACAUUAUAAUAUACUUACGUCCUAAUAUACUUAAUAAUGAUAAUAAUCGGAAUAAACAUACAAACUUCAAAAUUGUUAUACAUAUACCUAUAUUGAAUAUGUUUCUUACUGAAUACGAACGUAGCAAGUAUUAGUGUCUACCUAAAAUUAAUAAACGAAAAAAUUCUGGGUUGGAACGUAUAAUACAGUAAAGUAUAGAACACGUAGUAUACGUAUGUAUAAAACUAUUUGUUGUAUACGUUUUAUACCAUAUACAAUUUUUUUUUUUUUUUGCUGCAACUGAACAGAAAUUAUUAGGUAAAAUAAUUGUCAAUUGAAUUUAAUCAUUAUUUUAUGUAUCUUAUAUUAAUUACCUCAGACAUAUGUGAUAAUUUGUUAUAUUUAUUACUAAGUUCAUCUU